rnacentral:lncRNA from 1 species
AUAAUAAUGAAGUCCAUUUAAGUAUCAAAUGAAGCAAGAAGGAUUCAUAUAAAGUACAUAUAUGUAAGUACGCUCUAUGAGGAAAAACAGGUGCACCACCCUUUGUAAAGUUGAGGGGUAUACCGGUACCCAUUUUGGGGAUUUUCGAUACUGAUUGGUACCGAGCUCAUCCCUACAUAUGUUGCGCCCAUUUUUCAAACAUGAGCAGU